UACGUAGAGUGCAAGCGUUAUCCGGAAUUAUUGGGCGUAAAGAGCUCGUAGGCGGUUUGUCGCGUCUGCUGUGAAAACUGGAGGCUCAACCUCCAGCCUGCAGUGGGUACGGGCAAACUAGAGUGCGGUAGGGGAGAUUGGAAUUCCUGGUGUAGCGGUGGAAUGCGCAGAUAUCAGGAGGAACACCGAUGGCGAAGGCAGAUCUCUGGGCCGUAACUGACGCUGAGGAGCGAAAGCGUGGGGAGCGAACAGG
rnacentral:rRNA from 1 species